GAGGGUGUGGCUCAGUGGUAAAGCCCAUGCUUAGCCUGCAUGAGGUCCUGGGUUCAAUCUCCAGUACUUCCA
rnacentral:tRNA from 1 species